UGGGGAAUAUUGGGCAAUGGGGGAAACCCUGACCCAGCAACGCCGCGUGAAGGAAGAAGGCCUUCGGGUUGUAAACUUCUUUUACCAGGGACGAAGAACGUGACGGUACCUGGAGAAAAAGCCACGGCUAACUACGUGCCAGCAGCCGCGGUAAUACGUAGGUGGCAAGCGUUGUCCGGAUUUACUGGGUGUAAAGGGCGUGUAGGCGGAGAUGCAAGUUGGGAGUGAAAUCCCGGGGCUCAACCCCGGAACUGCUUUCAAAACUGUAUCCCUUGAGUGUCGGAGAGGCAAGCGGAAUUCCUAGUGUAGCGGUGAAAUGCGUAGAUAUUAGGAGGAACACCAGUGGCGAAGGCGGCUUGCUGGACGAUAACUGACGCUGAGGCGCGAAAGCGUGGGGAGCAAACAGG
rnacentral:rRNA from 1 species